rnacentral:rRNA from 1 species
UACGUAGGGGGCAAGCGUUGUCCGGAAUCAUUGGGCGUAAAGCGCGUGUAGGCGGCUAGGUAAGUCUGCUCUGAAAGCCCGGGGCUCAACCCCGGGAGGCGGGUGGAUACUGUCUAGCUCGAGUCCGGAAGAGGAGUGUGGAAUUCCUGGUGUAGCGGUGAAAUGCGCAGAUAUCAGGAGGAACACCAAUGGCGAAGGCAGCACUCUGGGACGUGACUGACGCUGAGACGCGAAAGCGUGGG